rnacentral:siRNA from 1 species
AUGUAAUUGAAAACUGAACUUUUC